GGUCACAGGGAAGAGAAGGGCUCUCCUCAAGCGGGUGGAAGGAGGGAGGCCUCCCGAGGGAAUGAGACUCCAGGCCACUCCCCCGCAGCAAGGCAGGAUCACCUGCGUCGCGGAGAGCAGUUAGAGGUCCCUGGAGUGGAAAAGGGCAGUGGGACCUGGUAGCUUGGGUUCCCUGCAACUUGGGGUUCGACCUCCAGGCAAUGAAGUAGGGAUGGUCCUGCAAGUCAAGAUUCCAGUAGCAAGAGUGCAUCAGAUCUCUGUAAGGAAAAUAACUAACAUUGCUCAGUUCCCUGUAGAGUUGCAGGGCGCUUUGACGUUAUCUCCCUUGGUUCUCCAUCAGGUCGUAGUGGACUAAUUUUACAGGCGAAGUUAAGUGACUUACCCAAAACCUCACAGCUAAUAAACGGCAGAGCCGGCACCCAGCUGUACUGGCUUCCAGCGCAUCCCAUUAUCUCCAUAAAUCCCCCUGAUUCAACUAAUAUUAGACGCCCCACAGGUAAGAUGCUUCAGAGUUAGAGGGGAGUUGAAGAUACCUUUGCCUUCAAAGAAGUAAGGAAUGAAACAAAGAUAAAACAGACAAUAAAAGACAAACCAUGAUAGGUGCCACGUGAAAAGUGGCAGAGUACUGCCGGGAAUCAAAGAACCGUGUAUAUCUGUCUUGGGGAUAAGGAAAGAAACGCAGCAUGAAGGAGUAGGCAUUUGGGAUUGACCUUGAAGGAGACAGGGAGAGUUUUACAGCAAGAAGGGAUAGCAUGAGAAUAUAUAUGAAGGCGAAUCAGUGAAAGUUGUGUUGGGGAAAGAGCAAAGACUCCAGGUAUGUUGAGAGGUAGAAAAGACAAAGGAGUAUGGGGCCUAAGAUACCAAAUGGAUGAAUUUAUAUUUAAUUCAGUAUUUUGAGUUUUUAUGGUUCAGAAGUUUGGGGGAAGAAAAGGAAGGUUUUUUUUUUCUUUAUGCUAGUGAUUUAUCUGUGAAGGGAAGCAGAAAUCAGAGGUGGAAAAACUGACAGAUCUACUGUAGGCCAGGUAAAAGGUAAUGAUGAGUCUGACCUAAAGGGACAGCCAGGGGAAUUUAAAGAGCAUAGUUGAGAGAUGAUGUGCAUGCAGAAUCUAUAGAAUUUGCUAACUGAUUGAUUAAUUGUGGGUAGGAAGAGAGAAAUCAAAGAAAGUGGAGGUUUUGAGUUUCUAGAUAAUUGCAAGAGAGAAAAGAGACAAUUACAAAGGAAAGGAGAAGGAGCUACUUCUUGAGAGAAGAUCAGUUUAGAUUUAGACAUUUUAAGAAUUCAAAGGGUUGUCAAGACAGCCAGACGGACAUGGACACUAAUAAGUUAGAAAUAAAGGUUUUGUAAUAUGGGAAAGAGGACUGAGCUAGAAAAUAGACUCAUAGAUAAUCAGCCUAGGAGUGAUAUUGCUGUGAGAUAAAAGAAGAAAACAAAGUCAGAAUCUUGGAAAACACCCUCUUCAGAGUCUCGCUGCUCAAAACGUGGUCAGUGGCCCAGCAGCACUGACAUGAGGACCUUAGUUGGAAACUCAGAAUCUCAGGCUCCACCCCAGACCUGCUGAACCAGCAUCUUCAACUUAACAAGAACCCGAAGAGAUUUGUGCCACAUCAAAAAGUUUGAGAAGCUCUGAUCUAGGUGAGCCAAGCCAGCAAAGAAAGGGGGUGGAGCAGAAAAUGGGAGGAGAAUAGGGUAAUGCAGAAUCAUCAAGACAAGGUAAAUUGGACUUUCACAAAAACGGGGCUGGAAGGAGUGUUGCUCAACAAUAUCCAAAACCACAGAGGUUGAAAAGCACAAGGAAAGAAGCUGGACCCUGGACACGGUGACUCUGAUUCAAUUAUGCAGAUGACCACAAGCCUCUGGGGUUGGCAGAGCCACAAGAAAGAAGGUGCCUGGAUGAAGGAGAGCUACCCACUGACCUGGACACCCAAUUAUUCAUCUGUCUUAGAGCUAUUGGAAUCCUGGAUCAUUGUGGGAAAUGAAAAGUCUGGAUGCCCAUUUUAAUUCUUCUGAAAGCAUGCCUCCUUCUGGCUUCAGGACUCCAUCUCCAGCCUUAUGAUCUAAAAAUAAUCCCCAAACCAAAAAAUUAGAUAUUAUUUCCUCAAAAUUAGGUGUUUUAAUCAAAACAUCUUAACAUAAAUA
ensembl:lncRNA novel transcript